rnacentral:rRNA from 1 species
GACGAACGCUGGCGGUGUGCUUAACACAUGCAAGUCGAACGGAAAGGCCCUGCUAUCGUGGUGUGCCCGGGUGGCGAACGGGUGAGUAACAGGUGAGUAACCUGCCCUAGAUUUUGGGAUGACUUCAGGAAAGUGGGGUUAAUACCGGACAGGAGCCCCUGCUGCAUGGAGGGGGUUGGAAAGUUUCGGCGGUCGGGGAUGGACUCGCGGAUUAUGAGUUAGUUGGUGGGGGAGUGGCUUACCAAGGCUGUGACGGGUAGCCGGCCUGAGAGGGUGACCGGCCACAUGGGGACUGCGAUACGGCCCAGACUCCUACGGGAGGCAGCAGGGGGGAAUAUUGCACAAUGGUCGGAAGCCUGAUGCAGCAGCGCCGCGUGCGUGAUGACGGCCUUCGGGUUGUAAACCGCUUUCGCCUGUGACGAAGCGUGAGUGACGGUAAUGGGUAAAGAAGCACCGGCUAACUACGUG